UGAAGAUGUGGGUCUAUAGAGCGCUUAUCCUUGCAGUCCUGCUACAAACUUGUUUGUCACGCCGUCCAAGACACAGGAUCUGUCAAAAGACCAUUUAUAUUAAUUGUGGUAAUAAAGAUUCAAAAGACAGCAAUGAAAAUGGUGGGGUUUUAGAAGCACCAUUGGAUAGUACCCCUCCUCCGAGAGAUGUAGCCAAUACGACUUCUGAGGACGACGUUGUUAAUGACACGACUGAAAGUCCGGAAAAAUCAGUGACAGAGGCAGGAGAAGCAACGACUAAAAUGCAUAAUUGGAUCGGAUAAGAAACUUUCUGCUUGACAUAAUUGGGAUAUGUUGCAGUUUUGGAUUACAUUUCAUUGGUCCUGGUUCCAACUUCUGUACUGAUCCAUG